AUACGGAGGGGGUUAGCGUUGUUCGGAAUUACUGGGCGUAAAGCGCACGUAGGCGGAUUGGAAAGUUGGGGGUGAAAUCCCAGGGCUCAACCCUGGAACUGCCUCCAAAACUAACAGUCUAGAGUUCGAGAGAGGUGAGUGGAAUUCCAAGUGUAGAGGUGAAAUUCGUAGAUAUUUGGAGGAACACCAGUGGCGAAGGCGGCUCACUGGCUCGAUACUGACGCUGAGGUGCGAAAGCGUGGGGAGCAAACAGGAUUAGAUACCCGGGUAGUCC
rnacentral:rRNA from 1 species